CCAAUAGCGUAUAUUAAAGUUGCUGCAGUUAAAAAGCUCGUAGUUGAAUUUCGGGACCAAUAUGUCGGUCGUGCCUCGGUACGUACUGGCAUCGUUGGUUUCUCCCUUCUGACGAACCAUGAUGUCAUUUAUUUGGUGUCGUGGGGAAUCAGGACUGUUACUUUGAAAAAAUUAGAGUGUUUAAAGCAGGCUCACGCUUGAAUACAUUAGCAUGGAAUAAUGAAAUAGGACGUUUGAUUCUAUUUUGUUGGUUUCUAGGAUCGACGUAAUGAUUAAUAGGGAUAGUUGGGGGCAUUAGUAUUCAAUUGUCAGAGGUGAAAUUCUUGGAUUUAUUGAAGACUAACUACUGCGAAAGCAUUUGCCAAGGAUGUUUUCAUUAAUCGAGAACGAAAGUUAGGGGAUCGAAGACGAUCAGAUACCGUCGUAGUCUUGACCAUAAACUAUGCCGACUAGGGAUCGGAUGAUGUUAAUUUUUUAAUGACUCAUUCGGCGCCUUACG
rnacentral:rRNA from 1 species